UACGUAGGGUGCGAGCGUUGUCCGGAAUUAUUGGGCGUAAAGGGCUCGUAGGCGGUUUGUCACGUCAGGAGUGAAAACUCGGGGCUCAACCCCGAGCCUGCUUCUGAUACGGGCAGACUAGAGGUAUGCAGGGGAGAACGGAAUUCCUGGUGUAGCGGUGAAAUGCGCAGAUAUCAGGAGGAACACCGGUGGCGAAGGCGGUGGUCUGGGCCGGCACUGACGCUGAGGAGCGAAAGCGUGGGGAGCGAACAGG
rnacentral:rRNA from 1 species